rnacentral:rRNA from 1 species
GAGUUUGAUCCUGGCUCAGAUUGAACGCUGGCGGCAUGCCUUACACAUGCAAGUCGAACGGCAGCAUGAUCUAGCUUGCUAGAUUGAUGGCGAGUGGCGAACGGGUGAGUAAUACAUCGGAACGUGCCCUGUAGUGGGGGAUAACUAGUCGAAAGAUUAGCUAAUACCGCAUACGACCUGAGGGUGAAAGUGGGGGACCGCAAGGCCUCAUGCUAUAGGAGCGGCCGAUGUCUGAUUAGCUAGUUGGUGGGGUAAAGGCCCACCAAGGCGACGAUCAGUAGCUGGUCUGAGAGGACGAUCAGCCACACUGGGACUGAGACACGGCCCAGACUCCUACGGGAGGCAGCAGUGGGGAAUUUUGGACAAUGGGCGAAAGCCUGAUCCAGCAAUGCCGCGUGUGUGAAG